rnacentral:tRNA from 1 species
GCCGGAGUGGCGGAAUGGCAUACGCUACGAUCUUAAAAAUCGUUGGAGAUUUCUCCUUACGGGUUCGAGUCCCGUCUCCGGCACCA